GCCCAGAUGGCGGAAUUGGUAGACGCGCAGGUUUCAGGUACCUGUGCCGUAAGGUGUGGAGGUUCGAGUCCUCUUCUGGGCACCA
rnacentral:tRNA from 1 species